UGGGGAAUAUUGCACAAUGGGGGAAACCCUGAUGCAGCGACGCCGCGUGAGGGAAGAAGGUCUUCGGAUUGUAAACCUCUGUUGUCAGGGACGAUAAUGACGGUACCUGACGAGGAAGCCACGGCUAACUACGUGCCAGCAGCCGCGGUAAAACGUAGGUGGCAAGCGUUGUCCGGAAUUACUGGGUGUAAAGGGAGCGCAGGCGGGUCGGCAAGUUGGAAGUGAAACUCAUGGGCUCAACCCAUGACCUGCUUUCAAAACUGCCGGUCUUGAGUGGUGUAGAGGUAGGCGGAAUUCCCGGUGUAGCGGUGGAAUGCGUAGAUAUCGGGAGGAACACCAGUGGCGAAGGCGGCCUACUGGGCACUAACUGACGCUGAGGCUCGAAAGCAUGGGUAGCAAACA
rnacentral:rRNA from 1 species